AUUGAACGCUGGCGGCAGGCCUAACACAUGCAAGUCGAGCGAGUGGCGGACGGGUGAGUAAUGUAUGGGGACUGCCCGAUAGAGGGGGAUAACUACUGGAAACGGUAGCUAAUACCGCAUACUAUCGGAUUAACCAAAUGGGAUUAGCUAUUAGGUGAGGUAAAGGCUCACCUAGGCGACGCUACCUAGCUGGUCUGAGAGGAUGACCAGCCACACUGGGACUGAGACACGGCCCAGACUCCUACGGAGGCAGCAGUGGGGAAUAUUGCACAAUGGGCGCAAGACUGAUGCAGCCAUGCCGCGUGUAUGAAGAAGGCCCUAGGGUUGUAAAGUACUUUCAGUGGGGAGGCGUUACCGACAGAAGAAGCACCGGCUAACUCCGUGCCAGCAGCCGCGGUAAUUC
rnacentral:rRNA from 1 species